rnacentral:rRNA from 1 species
AUUGAACGCUGGCGGCAGGCCUAACACAUGCAAGUCGAACGAGUGGCGGACGGGUGAGUAAUGUCUGGGAAACUGCCUGAUGGAGGGGGAUAACUACUGGAAACGGUAGCUAAUACCGCAUACACUCAUAUGUGCCCAGAUGGGAUUAGCUUGUUGUUGUGGUAACGGCUCACAAAGGCGACGAUCCCUAGCUGGGCUGAGAGGAGUACCAGCCACACUGUAACUGAGACACGGGCCAGACUCAUACGGGAGGCAGCAGUGGGGAAUAUUGCACAAUGGGCGCAAGCCUGAUGCAGCCAUGCCGCGUGUAUGAAGAAGGCCUUCGGGUUGUAAAGUACUUUCAGCGGGGAGGCGUAACCCGCAGAAGAAGCACCGGCUAACUCCGUGCCAGCAGCCGCGGUAAUAC